GACGAACGCUGGCGGCGUGCUUAACACAUGCAAGUCGAACGAUGACGACCGAGCUUGCUCGGUCUGAUUAGUGGCGAACGGGUGAGUAACACGUGAGCAACCUGCCCUUCACUCUGGGAUAACCUCGGGAAAUCGGGGCUAAUACCGGAUAUGAGCUCCUGUCGCAUGGCGGGUGUUGGAAAGUUUUUCGGUGCAGGAUGGGCUCGCGGCCUAUCAGUUUGUUGGUGAGGUAGUGGCUCACCAAGGCGAUGACGGGUAGCCGGCCUGAGAGGGCGACCGGCCACACUGGUACUGCGACACGGCCCAGACUCCUACGGGAGGCAGCAGUGGGGAAUAUUGCACAAUGGGCGAAAGCCUGAUGCAGCGACGCCGCGUGAGGGAUGACGGCCUUCGGGUUGUAAACCUCUUUCAGCAGGGAAGAAGCGAAAGUGACGGUACCUGCAGAAGAAGCGCCGGCUAACUACGUG
rnacentral:rRNA from 1 species